rnacentral:rRNA from 1 species
AUUGAACGCUGGCGGCAGGCCUAACACAUGCAAGUCGAGCGGGGUUUUCGGACCUAGCGGCGGACGGGUGAGUAAUGCGUAGGAAGCUGCCCGAUAGAGGGGGAUACCAGUUGGAAACGACUGUUAAUACCGCAUAAUGUCUACGGACCAAAGUGUGGGACCUUCGGGCCACAUGCUAUCGGAUGCGCCUACGUGGGAUUAGCUAGUUGGUGAGGUAAUGGCUCACCAAGGCGACGAUCUCUAGCUGGUUUGAGAGGAUGAUCAGCCACACUGGAACUGAGACACGGUCCAGAUUCCUACGGGAGUCAGCAGUGGGGAAUAUUGGACAAUGGGCGCAAGCCUGAUCCAGCCAUGCCGCGUGUGUGAAGAAGGCCUUCGGGUUGUAAAGCACUUUCAGCGAGGAGGAAGGGUGGUGUGUUAAUAGCACAUCAUUUUGACGUUACUCGCAGAAGAAGCACCGGCUAACUCUGUGCCAGCCGCCGCAGUAAAAC